UACACUCCUACGGGAGGCAGCAGUGGGGAAUAUUGCACAAUGGGCGCAAGCCUGAUGCAGCCAUGCCGCGUGUAUGAAGAAGGCCUUCGGGUUGUAAAGUACUUUCAGCGGGGAGGAAGGCGAUAAGGUUAAUAACCUUGUCGAUUGACGUUACCCGCAGAAGAAGCACCGGCUAACUCCGUGCCAGCAGCCGCGGUAAUACGGAGGGUGCAAGCGUUAAUCGGAAUUACUGGGCGUAAAGCGCACGCAGGCGGUCUGUCAAGUCGGAUGUGAAAUCCCCGGGCUCAACCUGGGAACUGCAUUCGAAACUGGCAGGCUAGAGUCUUGUAGAGGGGGGUAGAAUUCCAGGUGUAGCGGUGAAAUGCGUAGAGAUCUGGAGGAAUACCGGUGGCGAAGGCGGCCCCCUGGACAAAGACUGACGCUCAGGUGCGAAAGCGUGGGGAGCAAACAGGAUUAGAAACCCCUGUAGUCCCAUGAU
rnacentral:rRNA from 1 species